UGGGGAAUAUUGCACAAUGGGCGCAAGCCUGAUGCAGCCAUGCCGCGUGUAUGAAGAAGGCCUUCGGGUUGUAAAGUACUUUCAGUCGGGAGGAAGGUGGUGAGCUUAAUACGCUCAUCAAUUGACGUUACCGACAGAAGAAGCACCGGCUAACUCCGUGCCAGCAGCCGCGGUAAUACGGAGGGUGCAAGCGUUAAUCGGAAUUACUGGGCGUAAAGCGCACGCAGGCGGUUGAUUGAGUCAGAUGUGAAAAUCCCCCGGGGCUUAAACCCCGGGGAAAUUGCAUCUGAUACUGGGUCAGCUAGAGUCUUGUAGAGGGGGGUAGAAUUCCAUGUGUAGCGGUGAAAUUGCGUAGAGAUGUGGAGGAAUACCGGUGGCGAAGGCGGCCCCCCGGACAAAGACUGACGCUCAGGUGCGAAAGCGUGGGAGCAAACA
rnacentral:rRNA from 1 species